GAGUUUGAUCCUGGCUCAGAUUGAACGCUGGCGGCAGGCCUAACACAUGCAAGUCGAGCGGAAACGAGUUAACUGAACCUUCGGGGAACGUUAACGGCGUCGAGCGGCGGACGGGUGAGUAAUGCCUGGGAAAUUGCCCUGAUGUGGGGGAUAACCAUUGGAAACGAUGGCUAAUACCGCAUAAUAGCUUCGGCUCAAAGAGGGGGACCUUCGGGCCUCUCGCGUCAGGAUAUGCCCAGGUGGGAUUAGCUAGUUGGUGAGGUAAUGGCUCACCAAGGCGACGAUCCCUAGCUGGUCUGAGAGGAUGAUCAGCCACACUGGAACUGAGACACGGUCCAGACUCCUACGGGAGGCAGCAGUGGGGAAUAUUGCACAAUGGGCGCAAGCCUGAUGCAGCCAUGCCGCGUGUAUGAAGAAGGCCUUCGGGUUGUAAAGUACUUUCAGCAGUGAGGAAGGUGGAUAUGU
rnacentral:rRNA from 1 species